UCUUAAGGAUGAGCAAAGAAGGUAGGUUCUUAAGAUGGAAUCAACUGCUGGUGAAGAUGCUGUAAA
rnacentral:pre_miRNA from 2 species